rnacentral:rRNA from 1 species
GACGAACGCUGGCGGCGUGCUUAACACAUGCAAGUCGAACGGAAAGGCCCCUUUGGGGGUACUCGAGUGGCGAACGGGUGAGUAACACGUGAGUAACCUGCCCUUGACUUCGGGAUAACUUCAGGAAACUGGGGCUAAUACCGGAUAGGAAUCCUUGCUGCAUGGUGGGGGUUGGAAAGCUUCGGCGGUUUUGGAUGGACUCGCGGCUUAUCAGCUUGUUGGUGGGGUAGUGGCUUACCAAGGCUUUGACGGGUAGCCGGCCUGAGAGGGCGACCGGCCACAUUGGGACUGAGAUACGGCCCAGACUCCUACGGGAGGCAGCAGUGGGGGAUAUUGCACAAUGGGCGGAAGCCUGAUGCAGCAACGCCGCGUGCGGGAUGACGGCCUUCGGGUUGGAAACCGCUUUCAGCAGGGGCGAAGCUUGUGGUGACGGUACCUGCAGAAGAAGCACCGGCUAACUACGUG